UAGAAUGUGGUGUAGUGGGAGCACGGAGAAAUUUGAGUUCUCAGUCAUGGGUUCGAGUCCUAUUGUUCUAG
rnacentral:tRNA from 1 species